AAACAAUGAUGAACUUAUUUAUCCCGAAUCUGAAUCCAGUUUGAUGAUUCCAAUCUACGGAUCUGACUACUGAGUU